GACGAACGCUGGCGGCAUGCUUAACACAUGCAAGUCGAACGGAAAGGCCCUGCUUUUGUGGGGUGCUCGAGUGGCGAACGGGUGAGUAACACGUGAGUAACCUGCCCUUGACUUUGGGAUAACUUCAGGAAACUGGGGCUAAUACCGGAUAGGAGCUCCUGCUGCAUGGUGGGGGUUGGAAAGUUUCGGCGGUUGGGGAUGGACUCGCGGCUUAUCAGCUUGUUGGUGGGGUAGUGGCUUACCAAGGCUUUGACGGGUAGCCGGCCUGAGAGGGUGACCGGCCACAUUGGGACUGAGAUACGGCCCAGACUCCUACGGGAGGCAGCAGUGGGGAAUAUUGCACAAUGGGCGGAAGCCUGAUGCAGCAACGCCGCGUGCGGGAUGACGGCCUUCGGGUUGUAAACCGCUUUCGCCUGUGACGAAGCGUGAGUGACGGUAAUGGGUAAAGAAGCACCGGCUAACUACGUGCCAGCAGCCGCGGUGAUACGUAGGGUGCGAGCGUUGUCCGGAUUUAUUGGGCGUAAAGGGCUCGUAGGUGGUUGAUCGCGUCGGAAGUGUAAUCUUGGGGCUUAACCCUGAGCGUGCUUUCGAUACGGGUUGACUUGAGGAAGGUAGGGGAGAAUGGAAUUCCUGGUGGAGCGGUGGAAUGCGCAGAUAUCAGGAGGAACACCAGUGGCGAAGGCGGUUCUCUGGGCCUUUCCUGACGCUGAGGAGCGAAAGCGUGGGGAGCGAACAGGCUUAGAUACCCUGGUAGUCCACGCUGUAAACGGUGGGUACUAGGUGUGGGGUCCAUUCCACGGGUUCCGUGCCGUAGCUAACGCUUUAAGUACCCCGCCUGGGGAGUACGGCUGCAAGGCUAAAACUCAAAGGAAUUGACGGGGCCCCGCACAAGCGGCGGAGCAUGCGGAUUAAUUCGAUGCAACGCGUAGAACCUUACCUGGGUUUGACAUGGAUCGGGAGUGCUCAGAGAUGGGUGUGCCUCUUUUGGGGUCGGUUCACAGGUGGUGCAUGGCUGUCGUCAGCUCGUGUCGUGAGAUGUUGGGUUAAGUCCCGCAACGAGCGCAACCCUUGUUCACUGUUGCCAGCACGUUAUGGUGGGGACUCAGUGGAGACCGCCGGGGUCAACUCGGAGGAAGGUGGGGAUGACGUCAAGUCAUCAUGCCCCUUAUGUCCAGGGCUUCACGCAUGCUACAAUGGCUGGUACAGAGAGUGGCGAGCCUGUGAGGGUGAGCGAAUCUCGGAAAGCCGGUCUCAGUUCGGAUUGGGGUCUGCAACUCGACCUCAUGAAGUCGGAGUCGCUAGUAAUCGCAGAUCAGCAACGCUGCGGUGAAUACGUUCCCGGGGCU
rnacentral:rRNA from 1 species